rnacentral:rRNA from 1 species
UACGAAGGGGGCUAGCGUUGCUCGGAAUCACUGGGCGUAAAGGGCGCGUAGGCGGGCUCUUUAAGUCAGGGGUGAAAUCCCAAGGCUCAACCUUGGAACUGCCUUUGAUACUGCGGAUCUCGAGUCCGAUAGAGGUGGGUGGAAUUCCUGGUGUAGAGGUGAAAUUCGUAGAUAUUAGGAAGAACACCGGUGGCGAAGGCGGCCCACUGGAUCGGUACUGACGCUGAGGUGCGAAAGCGUGGGGAGCAAACAGG